AACGAACGCUGGCGGCAUGCCUAACACAUGCAAGUCGAACGAGACCUUCGGGUCUAGUGGCGCACGGGUGCGUAACGCGUGGGAAUCUGCCCUUAGGUUCGGAAUAACUUCGGGAAACUGAAGCUAAUACCGGAUGAUGACGUAAGUCCAAAGAUUUAUCGCCUAAGGAUGAGCCCGCGUUGGAUUAGCUAGUUGGUGAGGUAAAGGCUCACCAAGGCGACGAUCCAUAGCUGGUCUGAGAGGAUGAUCAGCCACACGUGGACUGAGACACGGCCCAGACUCCUACGGGAGGCAGCAGU
rnacentral:rRNA from 1 species